rnacentral:rRNA from 1 species
UACGGAGGAUGCGAGCGUUAUCCGGAUUUAUUGGGUUUAAAGGGUGCGUAGGCGGCCGAGUAAGUCAGCGGUGAAAUUUUGCAGCUUAACUGUAACAGUGCCGUUGAUACUGCAUGGCUAGGAUUUGGUUGCUGUGGGUGGAAUGUGUGGUGUAGCGGUGAAAUGCUUAGAGAUUACACAGAACACCGAUUGCGAAGGCAGCUCACAAAGCUAUUUCUGACGCUGAGGCACGAAAGCGUGGGGAGCAAACAGGA